UACGGAGGGUGCGAGCGUUGUCCGGAAUCACUGGGCGUAAAGGGCGCGUAGGCGGCAGGCCAAGCGUGCGGUGAAAGUCCGGGGCUCAACCCCGGAUCUGCCGUGCGGACUGGUUUGCUAGAGCACUGUAGAGGCGAGUGGAAUUCCGGGUGUAGCGGUGGAAUGCGUAGAGAUCCGGAAGAACACCGGUGGCGAAGGCGGGUUGCUGGGCUGACACUGACGCUGACAGCGCGAAAGCUAGGGGAGCGAACGGG
rnacentral:rRNA from 1 species